rnacentral:RNase_P_RNA from 1 species
AAAGCACCUGACUCUAUCGCUUCUUUGGAAGAGGAAAGUCCGGACAUCGUAGAACGUUAUACUAGUUAACGGCUAGGCAUUAUUUUAAUGACAGCUAGUGCAGCAGAAAAAAACCGCCUUCGGGUAAGGGUGAAAAGGUGAGGUAAGAGCUCACCAGUACUUUUAGUGAUAAAUGUAGCUGUAUAAACCUUAUAAGAUGCAAGGUCAUGUAAACUAAGGCUUCCUUAGGGAAUAAGAGUUGUUCGCUCAAUCUUAGAGGGUAGACCGCUAGAGCUACUUAGUAAUAAGUAGUUUAGAUAAAUGAUAGAGGUUCACUUGUGGAUUACAGAAUCCGGCUUAUGACGGGGCUUUUUUU